rnacentral:snoRNA from 1 species
CUUCAUCGUUGUGCAAUGACUGGAAGUAGCAGCUUCCUUGUUACUGUACGCAGCCUGUUUCUUGUAUAGGUUACUCUAAGGGACCUUUGAGACACCC